AUUGAACGCUGGCGGCAGGCCUAACACAUGCAAGUCGAACGAGUGGCGGACGGGUGAGUAAUGUCUGGGAAACUGCCUGAUGGCGGGGGAUAACUACUGGAAACGGUCGCUAAUACCGCAUACCCUCGGAUGUGCCCAGAUGGGAUUAGCUGGUAGGUGGGGUAAAGGCUCACCUAGGCGACGAUCCCUAGCUGGGCUGAGAGGUUUACCAGCCACACUGUAACUGUGACAGGGACCAUACUCCUACGAGAGGCAGCAUUGGUGAAUAUGGCACAAUGGGCGCAAGCCUGAUGCAGCCAUGCCGCGUGUAUGAAGAAGGCCUUCGGGUUGUAAAGUACUUUCAGCGGGGAGGCGUUACCCGCAGAAGAAGCACCGGCUGACUCCGUGCCAGCAGCCGCGGUAAUUC
rnacentral:rRNA from 1 species